rnacentral:snRNA from 1 species
AGGAAUAGUGUGGGGUCUACAUG